rnacentral:rRNA from 1 species
CAGCCGCCGCGGUAAAACAGAGGGUGCGAGCGUUAAUCGGAUUUACUGGGCGUAAAGCGUGCGUAGGCGGCUUCUUAAGUCGGAUGUGAAAUCCCUGAGCUUAACUUAGGAAUUGCAUUCGAUACUGGGAAGCUAGAGUAUGGGAGAGGAUGGUAGAAUUCCAGGUGUAGCGGUGAAAUGCGUAGAGAUCUGGAGGAAUACCGAUGGCGAAGGCAGCCAUUUGGCCUAAUACUGACGCUGAGGUACGAAAGCAUAGGGAGCAAACAGGAUUAGAUACCCCUGUAGUCCCUGUCUCUUAUAC